rnacentral:rRNA from 1 species
UACGGAGGGUGCAAGCGUUUAUCCGGAUUCACUGGGUUUAAAGGGUACGUAGGUGGGCUUGUAAGUCAGCGGUGAAAUCUCCGGGCUUAACCCGGAAACUGCCAUUGAUACUAUAAGUCUUGAAUUAUCUGGAGGUAAGCGGAAUAUGUCAUGUAGCGGUGAAAUGCUUAGAUAUGACAUAGAACACCAAUUGCGAAGGCAGCUUACUACGGAUCGAUUGACACUGAGGCACGAAAGCGUGGGGAUCAAACAGG